UACGGAGGGUGCAAGCGUUGUCCGGAUUUAUUGGGUUUAAAGGGUGCGUAGGCGGCCGAUUAAGUCUGGGGUGAAAGCCCGUUGCUCAACAACGGAACUGCCCUGGAAACUGGUCGGCUUGAGUACAGACGAGGGUGGCGGAAUGGAUGGUGUAGCGGUGAAAUGCAUAGAUACCAUCCAGAACCCCGAUUGCGAAGCAGCUGCCUAGACUGUAACUGACGCUGAGGCACGAAAGCGUGGGGAGCGAACAGG
rnacentral:rRNA from 1 species